rnacentral:lncRNA from 1 species
CAGCAUUGUCUUCCUUCUGGCUCAAUCUGUUUCACCUUCAGGUAAUCCUAGGAUAGGGGCUCGUUUUCAGAUCCCCAGUUUUUCAUGUCGAUCUUCUACCUCCCUGUGGCAACAAUAUUUUCUAAUUAAAGGAGUCCUUUUGUGCCACAGGGAGGAUUUCUGAUGGUAUAACAACUGUUUCCACAUUCUCGGUCUCAACUUCUUGUUCUUCUGCCACAUCUUGCAUCAUAUAAGUCUCAUCAUCAUAAACCAGAACCUGGGCUGCAUAGCCCUGCUCUAAUCUGGCACUUGGAACUGGCUCCACAAUCACUGCUGGAUAUUCAGAAACCUUUUCACUUUCC